rnacentral:rRNA from 1 species
UACGGAGGGUGCGAGCGUUGUCCGGAAUCACUGGGCGUAAAGGGCGCGUAGGCGGCUCAUGAAGGCUGUGGUGAAAGUCCGGGGCUCAACCUCGGAUCGGCCGUGGCGACUCGUGGGCUGGAGCACUGUAGAGGCGGGUGGAAUUCCGGGUGUAGCGGUGGAAUGCGCGAGUAUCCGAAGGAACGAACCAGUCGGGCGGAGGCGAAGGCCCGGGUCCUG